UUUAUUCAUUAACUUGUGACUUUUAUUUACACAGGGCCAUGGAUUUCUUUGCCAACAUGUAAAUAACCUACUAUUUUGUUUAGCAAUACAGGACUGACAGGAGCAGUAGAAUUCUCUUCCUUUGUGUUACCCAUACCAAUAGCAUGUAAUGCCUUUUGUGUUGAAUUUAAUAAGCUUAUCCAAGCCUUCCUCAAUCUUUGUGUUUGAAUUCCUUGAGGUUGUAAAUGAAUGAAGUGGAAUGUUAGGUAUCAGGUUUGGUUUGCAGUGAUUGCUGGUAUAAGAGAGAUUUUUGGGUGUGCCACGGCAGAGCACAUUUGAUUUUUGAUAGACGUGGAUGUCAUGCAUUGAUCCUCUGAGCCACGCGCUUUUCACAAGCCGGUAUAGCUGCUAAAUUUGCAGCAACUUGCAGAAGCAGAUAUUACAGACUGCUUAAGGGCAAAUAUUGGUGUGAAGCUGAGACCAACAGCGGCUGGAUCAGCAAAUCCAAGAUCGUGAAUGACAAGGAAACCAUGGCCCUUGGCCCAAGCUAGCCUGUAGCCUGAGGUGCAUGCCAAAUUGAGGUAGAUGGUCAAUGAGCCGGGAUGCUUAAGACGUUGAUUUAUGUAGUAGCAACCAUCGAGUUUGACGUACUAACGUGAGAGUCGCAGAGACGACAGAGGAUGCCGGAAGGGCUGUCAUCACUAGUGUUACACCACCGAGAGGCUGAAAUCAGCAGGAGAACACCUAAUUUUUAAAACACGGUGAACUGUAUCAUUCUUGUUUUUGCAAUAACAUUUAAUUGUUAUUGAGAUCUAUUAAGAUAGAUUUGUUUGAUAAUCUUGAUUUGCAAGACAUUCUUUUUUUGUGAUUUAUAAAUCGAAGAGGUUUUUUUGUGGCCAAAUCGACUGGAAAUUGAAUUUGGAAGUAGUUAACCGGUCAUUGUUUUUUUUUUUUAAUAAAACCUUUGGAAAACAUCCAAAGUAAGUGUACAUUGGUUUUUUUAUGACUUAGUGGACAAACUUAGAAGUGGUUUCGAAUGUAUCCACACCUAGCGUUCUUUUAUUAGUUUAAUUUGUUCAGAAAGUACAAACAGAGAUUCCUUUAAUUACUAUUUUUUUUGGUUGAGUUGUGUUUCAAAUUAAGAGUUUAAAACUGAGAAGAAAGAAUACUUAGUUUAUUUUGUGAGACACUUUUGUUGUGUUCCGCAUUAAUCAUGCAUUUUAUGACUUAAGAGAAAUUAAUAAUCCUCUUUAUGACUUAAGGAGAAAUAUUGUAAAUACUGCAAGAAGAAGUGGACUUAUAAAUUAAAUUGUAAAUAAUAAUUGUGUAAAUAGAA